GCGGGGCCCGCGGAGGGCGGCAGCACGGCGCGGCCGCCAUUUUGCUGUGGUAAUCCCCGGUGAUCGCAGCGGCCCGGGCCCGGUGCCCCGGCCUCCCCGCGGCCCGUACUGACAGCGACGCUAUUUCCCGUGCUUAGCACAACCUGCUUUCCCAGUAUGUGGAGUCAUGAAGCAGAGAGGAAAAAUUGGCCUUUGAGACAGGUAGAAGACAUUUUGUUUGAAAAAAAAAGACAAUUUGCUUUUGUUUUAAAGCUUGAUGGAAGAUUUUAAUUUUUCCCAAGGCUAACCUGUGUCUAUUUUUACAAGCUGCUGUGUAUUACAAGAUUUUAUUGGACAGUUACUUGUUUUCAAAUCUUAGGCCUAUGCAUUAAAAGCACUAAAUAGUAGGAACAGAUUCAUUUUAGAAAAAAAUAAAAUCCAUAAGCAUGAACUGUUUCAUCAGUGUCACACUUGAUGGGUCUGGAAGUUAGACAUUUGCUAAAGCCCCUUCAUGAUAAAUGUGCCUUACCAUCUGAGGAAGCUAUUUAAUACCAACAUAAAAUACACAAUCUAGUAUAUGGAGAGGAAGUCUUUUUUCCAGCAUUCUGCCUUGCAACUAUCAUAUGCUUUCCUGGUUCUUUGAAAGAUACAGAAAUAAAUUUGUUCUUGUCAGGAAUUGUGAUUUCAGUGACUGACCUAUACAUUCCUGUUCUUAUUUUACACAAUCUGCAGUAAAAGAUCACCUUGGAAAUGCUGAACAUCUUUGUGGAGAAAUUAAUUACUGCUUCUGGAUCACUCAAAUUCCUUUCAUCAAAAUCCUGAGUAGUAUCGACAAACCACACGAACACAGGGUCUCCCGACUGCAUGAUCAGCUGUCUGUGUCUACGCUACACCCUGUUAACCAC